rnacentral:lncRNA from 1 species
GAUGAUUUUUUAAAAAAAAAAUCAGAGCAGACCUAAAUAAUUGUAUUUAAGAAUUUUCUGAGAUUAAAUACGGCCUAGGGUUGGACACAGUGGCAUGCAGCUGUCUUCAGCUACUCUGGAAGCUGAAGUAGGAGAGUCACUUGUCCUUGGGAGAUUGACACAACCUAUGCAGCAUUGUGAAUCCCUGACUCAAAAACAUACUUACUCUGGAUAAUAAGUCAUGGCUUUGUUUUAAAAGUUUAUGACCAAAGUAACAAGAAAAUCCUGUUGGAUGCCAAAAAGAAAAGAAACAAGCCACUGUAUAAAAAUCAGCAUUUUCUCAGGAGAGCCUCAGUGCCCUCUCUACCCUGUUCUCAGUUCUCUUGAAACAGAAUUGUUUUGUUGCUUUUCCUUUUUGUUUGUUGAUAUAGAGUCUGACUACAUAGCUCAAUCUGUCCUUGAACUCUUGCCUCUUGAGAACUGGAAUUAUAGGCAUGUGAACCACACCUGUCUAGAAUGUCAUAGCUGCACCAAGAAGAUGGGUUAGGCUGUGGACGGUAAACAGCACUGUGGGUUAAUACACAUGAAACAAAUCAUCCAAAGUAUAGAGACUGUUAUUUCGAUUGAGGCUAGAAAGUCUUUAUAUAAAAAGGACACUUUUACCACUACUAGCUCCUUUCUUUCUACCCCUUAAGGGGUGACUUGAGUUAGUAAAAGGAAGCUAGCAUUGAGCCAAUGUGGUGAUGCACACCUUCAGUCCCAGCACUAGAAGAGCUGAAGAAGGGGAAGCUCUUAUAAGGCCA